GUCAGAUAACGAUGAUAGUAAGUGCAAAAAUACAAUAGAAAUAUGACGUUCAUCCAACAUACAGCAUAUAUUUGUUUGGCAAUUGUAGCAUUUAAAGGAACAGUAUAAUCCACAGUCAGAGAGAAACCCAACAGGAAUAAGAGUGAAUAGAAAACAUAUUUAAAUAUUAUAAAUACACAUUUGUUUAUGAUGAGUGUGAAAUAUCCCAAUUAUUAUUCACAGCUGUCUUAGCUAGACGUGCCACAUCUGGCAAGUCAAAUACAGACAUCACACAUCUACUUUAUAUUUGUGUUAUUUGAUGGUGUCCUGUUAAAAAGCUCAUGUUUAGUUGGCAGCUAAAGUCAUUUUAUUUGUACAUUUUCCAUUGAAUUCCUGUUCUUUAUUUAUUGUUAUUAUACUUGAUUACUACAAGGUUAUGAGUUUGAAGAACGCCCAGUUAAUCCUGGUUGAUCUUUGCCCUUCUCUGUCCAAGGUACUUCUCUCUGGCUGCAGAUACAAUUUGCCAAGAUGCAGGACUGAUAGACUCUGGAAUGAAUUUGUCCCUGCUGUCAUUGGCCUUUUAAAUAACUCAAUGAAAUCAUCAUUUUGUAUUUAUUGUUAAUUCUUUGUCUGAUGGUUAUGUGAUUGGUUUCUGUUGUCAGGUAUUAUAAAGAUAUUUUUGAAAUAUGCACUUAGCGGCAAACAGGUCAUGAGGAAAGUGCAACGUUUUGAUCCUUGUGUUAUACAUAGUACACCAAACCAUUAUGAGAUGGGCAAUCCAUCGUUUGUGAUAACAUCAUGUGUUAUUAUCAUUUCUUUUCUGCCAGGUGACAAUGGAUACUUGAAACUAAGAGUGGUUGGUGGAGAUGAGGAGGAAGUGUUCUUCAUAAACACAGCUGGCGCUUUGUGUCUGAACACAGAGUUAGACAGAGAGAGACAACCCCGCUACGAUCUGACUGACGGCCAAUGACCGUGCCCCGACUGUGUCGUUAGCGUUCACCAGCACAGCACAUGUCAUUGUUGUGGUUGAUGAUGUCAAUGACAACGCUCCAUUGUUUGUGUCAGCAAAAAUAGUCAACAUACCAGAGGACACUGCACUUCAUUCUGUCAUAAUGACUGCGCAUGCUGAGGACGAAGACAUUGGAUCCAACGGGGAAGUUUUAUAUUAUUUGAACAACACUUCUGGUGGCAAGUUUAGCAUCGAUAACAGGAGUGGAAAAAUAUACCUGGAGGAGGCAUUAGACAGAGAACAGGUCGACAGCCUGACUAUUACUGUAACAGCCAUUGAUGAAGGCUCACCUAGAAUGGCAACCAGUAUGAAUCUCACGGUGCACGUUGAGGACGCAAAUGACCAUGACCCAGAGUUCUCUCAAAGCACCGACAGCGUGACAAUCAGAGAGGACAUCCCCAGAGGAACGAGCCUGUUCCAGGUGCAGGCUCUUGAUCGAGACAUCGGGACAAAUGGACACGUUGGGUACAUACUGACCCAGGAGAGUCCGUUUGUGGCGGACGCGGUUCGAGGUGUCAUCACAGUCAUGGACAAACUGGAUAAGGAGAGGGAUUCAAACUACACCUAAAUCAUAACAGCUGUAGAUAAGGGGAACGCAAUCAGGUCUGCCACGGCUGCUGUCAGUGUCACAGUGCUGGAUGUCAACGACUUUGCACCCCUCUUUACUCCACAAACACUGACCAUGCAUGUCACAGAGAAUGAUGAAGACCCCGCUGAGCUCACACGUCAGUUAUCAGCUUCGGAUGAAGAUGUAGGCGUCAACAGCCAACUGACCUAUUUUAUACAGAAAGGAAAUGGUGACAGUUUGUUCUCCAUCACUCCCAGUGGCACGUUCCACAUUUUACACAGCCUGGACAGAGAGGGAAUCAUCUUAUUUCGUCAAUAUCGUUGCUGUUGACUCAGGAUUGCCACCUCUAACAGGAACUCUAAGCAUACUCGUCAUAGUGGAUGAUGUCAAUGAUAACCGUCCAGAGUUUACUCAGGAAGUCUUCAACACCAUAGUGUCUGAGGACAGCCCCCCAGGCACUGUGUUUGCCAUGAUAACGGCAUGUGACCUUGAUGAGGGAAUCAGUGGGGAAAUAAGGUAACAUAUAUAAAGUCCCUCACAAAUUUGAGUGCAAUGUUGAGAAGUACCGUCUCUAAUAAAAACUUUAAAUAUCACUAACGCUAGGCAUUUGCUGAGGCCUUUUGCAUUGUGUUUCUGGUGGUGGAGCAUUGAGAUCAAAGUCUCCUGGAUUGUACAGUAUAUGUGUUGUAAUGAUUUAUACUUAAUCCUAAUUCACUGAUGGACUGUUACAUCUUUUAACUCUCCUAUAGGUUUUUUAUAGAGAACUUUAAUGUGCCCUUUGACAUUGAAGGUGGACAGGCAUGAAGAACUGGUUUCAGUUCAAAACAUCAUUUUCAGUUUUUGACUUGGACGUUAUAUAGUUUAGUUGUCUUGUUUUUUUCUGAACGAAAAGAUACAAAUGGAUGAACACUUCAGGGACUGCUGUGCUGCCUUCAGGGUCCUGCAGGCUGGAGCUCAGGAGCAGCUCUUGUGGGACUACUGGAGGACCUCAGAGGCAUUGUCUGGGAACCUGGAGAACACCAGCGCCUCAAGGACCAAGUUCAACAACGAUAUAACCAUCGAGUUGGAUUUGUUCCACUGCAUGCGGCGCUUCAGUCUCGGAGCAUCACUCUCUCUAUAGGGAUAGUGUCUCAUGAUGUACAAGUUGUAAUGUCCUCGAGGUGGAUUUGUGAUAUUAUAAAAAUGUAAAUGACAAGAGAAGAACACUGAUCAUGUUUCCUCUUCCUUUGCUUAAUAUGUAAAUCAUCUGUUUUUUUGUUUGCUGUAAGGACAAUGGAGGAUCUUAAAGGUGAAAACACUGGAGAGAAGUGCUACCCCUCUUCAAAAAAGGAAAGUGACCUCCAGGCUUCUCUUCAUUCUAGCAAGGAACAGAAUCGGAGGCUAAAAAUCGGAACAUUGUGUCGACACUUGUGAGACCGUCUGCCCGUUGUCAAUGUCCAGUUAGACACACAGCAACCACAUUAGAGCUCCCUGCGAGGUUAAGAAAGCAGGUGAGGAGACAGCGAGUAGUUUGAGGAAAAUCGUACAAAGUCCACAAAAGACACGAGGAACAGUGAGGCUAAAGAAGAAUAUUUCACACAAAGCAAAGCCAGCUGCUAAGAAGUCAACUGAGGAUCCUGUCUCAAGAAGAUUCCCUUAGUAGAAGAGUUGUCAAAAAGUAAAUUGGACAUCCAGCACACUAACCAAUCUUCUGACAAUGGAUCGAAUGAUUCCUCCUGACAGUCUGACCACAGUCCAUGCCCCGCCAAUACUGUUGGACAAAUCAUCUGUUGGACAAAUGCUGACAAUGUGCAACGAUACAUUUUUCUCUGCCUCGUUUCAGUCUGUGGAAAAUAACUGGAUACAGCUGACCUCUGCAUUUAUAAACCCAGCUUCAUGAUCAGAGAACCUUUUUUACCACAGGUGGGGUACCUAUAUUCAAGCCAUGUAUUAUGGGAUGUCAAUCCUGGCCUGGUGUAUCCCGUUGCUCUAAUUUGAUUGUUAAUUGGAUGAUGCUCUAUAAUAGCAACAUAAACAAUAUUAAGAAAGUUUAUGUUUUUGUCUUUCUUUCUCUCAUAUUGACAGCUUACAUAUAUAAAAAUGAACAAUUUCCGUUCUUACAUUACAUCUUUCACUGUGCAAUUCAGUUAACUUACCAUAUUCAAUGAAUAUGUAACGUUGCCGUUGGCUAGUUAUAGUUGAGUUCAUAGCCAAGUAGACUUAGCCUAACAUUAGUAUCCCAUGGUAUCAGUUAGGAGUGUGUUGAACAGGGUUUUGUUGGAGGAACUUGAUAGUUUUGACAGAA